GGAAUACAGUGUAAACUUUGCAAAUUUGCUCACGGUAGCAGAGAGGUCCUCCUGAAACACUACAGGUUUCACCACUAUCAAGGGCGAUCCUGGCAGCAGCCUUGCCUGUAUACUGACUGCAUCUGCACUUCCAAAACUAUAGGAAAGGGAUGCAUUACAGGAGGAAUUGAAGAAGAAACAUCUCAACAUGGCAUUUGUUGACUCGAAAAUGGAAUUGACAUUCUCAUUGAGAAGGAAGGAGAUAGUUGAAGAAGAACCUCUUGUAGCUGAUGUACUAAGACAAUGGCCAGCAUUGUUUUUGGAACAUCAGAUAUGUACUGAGUUUUACAGAAUCACAGAAACAAACCUGAAGAGUACAUUUUUCUCUUCUCUGGAUGAAUAUACACCACGGAUGAUCAAGUUGUAUAGGGUACGCGGCGGAGCAUAUGGAGAUAAUAUGAAGACCCUCCUAGACCAACUUGAUAAUCAGGUAAUUAUUUAGAUUGUGUUCCUAUAUCUCUCGU